AAUAGAUACCCAGGUAGUCCACGCCGUAAACGAUGGAUGCUAGCUGUUAUGAGUAUCGACCCUUGUAGUAGCGAAGCUAACGCGUUAAGCAUCCCGCCUGUGGAGUACGAGCGCAAGCUUAAAACAUAAAGGAAUUGACGGGGACCCGCACAAGCGGUGGAGCGUGUUGUUUAAUUCGAUGAUAAGCGAAGAACCUUACCAAGGCUUGACAUCCCUGGAAUUUCUCCGAAAGGAGAGAGUGCCUUCGGGAAUCAGGUGACAGGUGAUGCAUGGCCGUCGUCAGCUCGUGUCGUGAGAUGUUUGGUUAAGUCCAUCAACGAGCGCAACCCUUGUAAAUAGUUGAAUUUUUCUAUUUAGACUGCCUCGGUAACGGGGAGGAAGGAGGGGAUGAUGUCAGGUCAGUAUUUCCCUUACGCCUUGGGCUACAAACACGCUACAAUGGCCGGUACAAAGGGCAGCCAACCCGCGAGGGGGAGCAAAUCCCAUCAAAACCGGUCUCAGUUCGGAUAGCAGGCUGAAAUUCGCCUGCUUGAAGCCGG
rnacentral:rRNA from 1 species